GCAGCGCGGGCUUCGGCCUGGCGGCGAGUGGCGAACGGGUGAGUAAUACAUCGGAACGUGCCCUGUCGUGGGGGAUAACUAGUCGAAAGAUUAGCUAAUACCGCAUACGACCUGAGGGUGAAAGCGGGGGACCGCAAGGCCUCUCGCGAUAUGAGCGGCCGAUGUCUGAUUAUCUAGUUGGGGGGGUAAAGGCCUACCAAGGCGACGAUCAGUAGCUGGGCUGAGAGGACGAUCAGCCACACUGGGACUGAGACACGGCCCACACUCCUACGGGAGGCAGCAGUGGGGAAUUUUGGACAAUGGGGGCAACCCUGAUCCCCCAAUGCCGCGUGUGUGAAAAAGGCCUUCGGGUUGUAAAGCACUUUUGUCCGGAAAGAAAUGGGCUGGGCUAAUACCCCGGGUCGAUGACGGUACCGGAAAAAUAUACACCGGCUAACUACGCGCCCCCACCCGCGGUAAUACACAUGGGGCGAGCGUUAAUCGCAAUUACUGGGCGUAAAGCGCGCGCACGCGGUUUGAUAAAACAGGGGUGAAAUCCCCGGGCUCUCCCUGUGAAUGGCGCUUGUGACUGUCACGCUAUAGAGCGUCAGAGAGGGGUAUAAUUCCACGUGUAUCACUGAAAUGCGCAUAGAUGUGGAGAAAUACCGAUGUCGAAGGCAGCCCCCUGUGACGUGACUGACGCUCAUGCGCGAAAGCGUGUGGAGCAAACAGGAUUAUAUACCCUGGGAGUCCACGCCCUAAACGAUGAUCAACUAUAUGUUGGUGGGAUUA
rnacentral:rRNA from 1 species